UUUAGAAACCCAGUUUCUAAAAAAAAACAAAAAAAAAUCCUCUGAAAAGGAUCCCUGGUCCUCUGAGCUCCGGCGUUUAGCCGAUCAGCUCUGGUCAUUGGACCUCCGUACUGAGAUCCACGCGCCACCACCGACUCCGCCACACACGACGGUCGGAACUUGAAAAGUUUCACUUUUCAAGGCGAUUCUCCAGGUAUUCUCUCCCUCUAUCUGUUUAAUAUAUUAUAUGCAUAAACUUAUGAUCAAGAGAAUGAAACAGAAAUAAAAAUAUGUCACCUUUGUCUUCUGUAAAAAAAAAUCUCUGGUAUAUUAUUGCAAAAAAGAUUAUGUGCACAAUAUUUUGGUAUCUCUCCCUUGUGUGUUUUCCUUUUACAGAUUAAAAAGAAGGCUUUAUAGCCUCAAUAAACUACUACAAUUUUUGGAAAGAAAUCUCCGAUUUCUUUUCGUAUUUGCUUCGCAUGUCUGCUGUGAUUUUCUUUCCUUUUCUUGCAGGUGCUUGCGAAAAAUCCGGCAAUGGAAGGGUUGCUGGCGUUGAUGGAGGCCUGAAGUCUGGUGAUGGUGUCGGUGAGGCGCUGAUUACGGAAGUAGAGCCUUGAGUGAUGGCCUCGAUUGGGGAGCCGGACAGACGAUCCCCGAAUCUUCCAGAAGCAGUUGCGGCGUAAGGGAGCAGAGCUAGGGUUGGAAACCCUAGCUGGAAAUUUUGGGUUUUGGGCCUAGUUCAUUUUGGGCCGUUGUAUUGGGUCAAAGGGGUAAUGGGCAUAGGAUAGGCUUACGGGGUAUUUGGGCUACCGGGUGUAACAGGUCUAUUUGGGUUUUAACUUUUGGGCUGUAAAGGGACUGUUUAAUAAACAUUUAUUUAUUAUUAUUUAAUUUUGGUUUUGGGUUUCAAGGCCCGGUCAAAUUUGGGGUUAUUACAAUGUAUAUAUAAAAAUAUUGAAGAUUUUUAAAUGAAUGAUAAAACCGUUGUAAGGAUACAUCAAGUUUUAAAAUGAAAAAUAUUUAACAGCACAA
rnacentral:lncRNA from 1 species